GACGAACGCUGGCGGCGUGCUUAACACAUGCAAGUCGAACGGAAAGGCCCUGCUUUUGUGGGGUGCUCAAGUGGCGAACGGGUGAGUAACACGUGAGUAACCUGCCCUUGACUUUGGGAUAACUUCAGGAAACUGGGGCUAAUACCGGAUAGGAGCUCCUGCUGCAUGGUGGGGGUUGGAAAGUUUCGGCGGUUGGGGAUGGACUCGCGGCUUAUCAGCUUGUUGGUGGGGUAGUGGCUUACCAAGGCUUUGACGGGUAGCCGGCCUGAGAGGGUGACCGGCCACAUUGGGACUGAGAUACGGCCCGGACUCCUACGGGAGGCAGCAGUGGGGAAUAUUGCACAAUGGGCGGAAGCCUGAUGCAGCAACGCCGCGUGCGGGAUGACGGCCUUCGGGUUGUAAACCGCUUUCGCCUGUGACGAAGCGUGAGUGACGGUAAUGGGUAAAGAAGCACCGGCUAACUACGUG
rnacentral:rRNA from 1 species